GACGAACGCUGGCGGCGUGCUUAACACGUGCAAGUCGAACGCUGAAGCUUGGUGCUUGCACUGGGUGGAUGAGUGGCGAACGGGUGAGUAAUACGUGAGUAACCUGCCCUUGACUCUGGGAUAAGCCUGGGAAACUGGGUCUAAUACUGGAUACGACAUGUCACCGCAUGGUGGUGUGUGGAAAGGGUUUUACUGGUUUUGGAUGGGCUCACGGCCUAUCAGCUUGUUGGUGGGGUAAUGGCUCACCAAGGCGACGACGGGUAGCCGGCCUGAGAGGGUGACCGGCGACACUGGGACUGAGACACGGCCCAGACUCCUACGGGAGGCAGCAGUGGGGAAUAUUGCACAAUGGGCGGAAGCCUGAUGCAGCGACGCCGCGUGAGGGAUGACGGCCUUCGGGUUGUAAACCUCUUUCAGCACGGAAGAAGCGAAAGUGACGGUACGUGCAGAAGAAGCGCCGGCUAACUACGUG
rnacentral:rRNA from 1 species